UAUUAUUUGUAUUAGCAUUCAAAAAUGAGUAGUAGUAGUAGUAACACGAAUGGGAAAGGAGGUAAAAAAUCAGUGCAUACUAUGACUCAUUUCGUUCCUCCUCUAAUUACGAAUAAUGUUCCUGCCCCAGCUACGAGUUCUAUGACCAACAAGAAAACUCGUCCUGCAAGUGCGAGUUAUACGGGUUCUAAUGAUCCUCCUAACCAGAAGAAGGAUCCUAAGGGAUUUAAGGGCGGUUCGAGUUCUAAUUCUCAGCAAAAUAGAAAUGGCUAACAGGGUUCUUGCUUGUGGACAUGUCACGUCAGCAGCGGAUUCUAUUGUUUGUUUAAGAGUCAGUGUUUGUUUUGUCAAAAAAUAAAAGAAUCACUGUUUGUUAAUGUUGUAAUAUUGUGUUAUUGAGUCAGCUUUUGUUAUGGGUGUUUACAAAAUAGUCGUGUGUAUUUCAAUAUGUAUUAUUCAAUAAAAUUUGUGAGAUCGUUAUGUUCA